UGAGCCGGCCAGGUGGCCGCGGCGUGGCGUCACCUCCGGGUGGUGACCGCGUCGAGGAAGGUCGGGGCUCCGAAGGGCAGGGUGCUGGCGAGAGCCAGGGCGGGGUGACCUGUCGGUUCAGGGCAACAGAGAGCAGACCGCCGAUGGCCCCGGGCGACCGGGGCACAGGCAAGGGUGAAACGGUGCGGUAAGAGCGCACCAGCGUCGAGGGCGACCUCGGCGGCUAGGCAACCCCCACCCGGAGCAAGGUCAAACGUGGGAGGGCCGGCCCGGCCGAUCUCCCCAGGUAGACCGCACAGAUGGAUGGCCACCCCCUCGCAAGGAGGGACAGAACCCCGCCUAUCGGCCGGCUCACCGU
rnacentral:RNase_P_RNA from 1 species